AGUGUGCAAUAGGAACACUGGAAACCAAUGGUGCUGUAAUUGUUGUAGAUUGACUCAAGAAGGGGACACUUAGGCCCACUUAUACCACUCCUGAGGGAAUAGUGCACAGAAACAGAAUUAGAAGAGUUCAUCAAAAACCAAGUCCUUGAUCCUACUUCCCUGACAAGCUGGAGGUUCGACAGAGCUACAAGGUGAAAUCUCUGAUAUCAGAACAGGUGGUGGGAGAAGAAAGUUGGAGUGCCACUUGUCACCAUUUAGAUCUUAACAGUCAUGGAAGGAGGGCCUUUUAGACAUUCCAUCAGGGGCUUGCAGAGGACGUCUGGCGGUGAGUCAAUCAAGAAGCAGCAUGAACUGGCAGCAGAAUCUAUGCCGAUUUUUAAAAUAUACAUUUAUAUAUACAUUUAUAUACUUUUUUUGCCUAUCUGCCAAUCCUAGGUAGCGCUCAUCUGAAUUUGUUUCCAUGGCCUCUACACAGACAGUUUCUUUUCCCCUCCUCCCCUCACUGCUCCCUUAUUCUUCCCUCACCACCCCUACACCCCCAUCCCCCGCUGUCCUCCUAGGGCUGGAGACCGGUGCAAUAUCAUUUUCCGCAUAAUGAAAUCUGGAGUGACAUUAAUAUAAGUGUAAUUUUAUAGAAGGGAAUGGGCCUGGCU
rnacentral:lncRNA from 1 species